rnacentral:rRNA from 1 species
CGGUAAUUCCAGCUCCAAUAGCGUAUACUAAAGUUGUUGCAGUUAAAAAGCUCGUAGUUGGAUUUCUGCGGGGACGGAGCGGCCGGUCGCAACUUGCGACUCGAGCUAGCGCUUUCCCCGCAUCCUGCCGCGAACCGUGCUACCAUUAGCUUGGUGGCGCUGGGGAUCGGCUCGAUUACUUUGAGAAAAAUAGAGUGUUCAAAGCAGACCACACGCCUUGAAUAAGUUAGCAUGGAAUAAUGACUAAGGACUUCGGUUCUAUUUUGUUGGUGUUCGGGACUGAAGUAAUGAUUGAUAGGGACAGUUGGGGCGGUCUGUAUUCCAAAGCGAGAGGUGAAAUUCUUAGACCUUCGGAAGACAAACAGCUGCGAAAGCGUUCCGCAAGGAUGUUCCCUUUGAUCAAGAACGAAAGUUGGGGGAUCGAAGACGAUCAGAUACCGUCGUAGUCUCAACUAUAAACUAUACCAGCUAGGGAUCGGUCAACGUUUAAUCAUUCGACUUGAUCGGCACCUUAUGAGAAAUCAAAGCAUCUGGGUUCCGGGGGGAGUAUGGUCGCAAGGCUGAAACUUAAAGGAAUUGACGGAAGGGCACCACCAGCCGUGGAGCCUGUGGCUUAAUUUGACUCAACACGGGAAAACUUACCAGGUCCAGACAUAGUAAGGAUUGACAGAUUGAUAGCUCUUUCUUGAUUCUGUGGGUGGUGGUGCAUGGCCGUUCUUAGUUGGUGGAGUGAUUUGUCUGGUUAAUUCCGUUAACGAACGAGACCCCAGCCUGCUAAAUAGCGCGGCUGAGCUUUGCUCGGUGCGAGCUUCUUAGAGGGACUAUGAUGCGCGAUAGCACAUGGAAGUUUGGGGCAAUAACAGGUCUGUGAUGCCCUUAGAUGUUCUGGGCCGCACACGGGCUACACUGGCGCCUGCAACGAGCAUAUCAGCUGGCCCGAGAGGGUCUUGGCUAAUCUUUUGAACCGGCGCCGUGCUUGGGAUUGACCAUUGCAAUUGUUGGUCAUGCAACGAGGAAUGCCUUGUAAACGCGAGUCAUCAGCUCGCAUUGAAUACGUCCCUGCCCUUUGUACACACCGCCCGUCGCUCCUACCGAUGAAUGUUCCGAUGAAAUUUUCGGAGAGCGCCAGAGAACGGGGCUCCGCCUUGCAGAUCUGGAGGCUCAAAGUCACUUAAAUCUGAACAUUUCGAGGAAGGAGAAGUCGUAACAAGGUAACC